CACGUAGGGGCCAAGCGUUGUCCGGAUUUAUUGGGCGUAAAGAGCUCGUAGGCGGUUGGGUAAGUCGGGUGUGAAAACUCUGGGCUCAACUCAGAGACGCCACCCGAUACUGCUCUGACUUGAGUCCGGUAGGGGAGUGGGGAAUUCCUGGUGUAGCGGUGAAAUGCGCAGAUAUCAGGAGGAACACCAAUAGCGAAGGCAGCUCGCUGGGACGGUACUGACGCUAAGGCGCGAAAGCGUGAGGAGCGAACAGG
rnacentral:rRNA from 1 species